CCUACGGGAGGCAGCAGUGAGGAAUAUUGGUCAAUGGGCGGAAGCCUGAACCAGCCAAGUCGCGUGAGGGAAUAAGGUCCUAUGGAUCGUAAACCUCUUUUGCCGGGGAGCAAGGCCGGGCACGUGUCCCGGCCCGGAGAGUACCCGGAGAAAAAGCAUCGGCUAACUCCGUGCCAGCAGCCGCGGUAAUACGGAGGAUGCGAGCGUUCUCCGGAUUUAUUGGGUUUAAAGGGUGCGUAGGCGGGCUGUUAAGUCAGCGGUAAAAAUUCGGGGCUCAACCCCGGCCUGCCGUUGAAACUGGGAGUCUUGAGUGAGCGAGAAGAAGGCGGAAUGCGUGGUGUAGCGGUGAAAUGCAUAGAUAUCACGCAGAACCCCGAUUGCGAAGGCAGCAUACCGGCGCCCAACUGACGCUGAGGCACGAAAGUGCGGGGAUCGAACAGGAUUAGAUACCCCAGUAGUC
rnacentral:rRNA from 1 species